UGCCAGCAGUCCUUCACCUCAGUGAGGACUGUUUAACAUACAGCCUAGUCUCAGGGUAAUUAUUCAUGGCCGCUGACUUCCAGACUUCUUAACAGCUUUGCUAAGCCUUCAAAGCAAAGCAAAGCAAAGCUGCUACCUGGUUACCUGUUUAAUGGGACCACCAGGACCCUUGAAAAUCAGAGGAAUUCGCAGACACAUCCUCCUUGUGUCACCUAGGUACUCUCUUUGAAGAAUAACUAGGGAAGCUCCACUCCAAACCUACUAAAGGGCAGUUCUCCUGCUGUAAAAAAGAACUUUAUAGCUCUAUGCUAAAUGGCUUGUUAUCAAGAUGUGUAUUUCUUGUCUGGUGCUUACAUAUAUUGGAUUAGGGAAUCUGAGGCCUAUCCGCCACACCUAGAAUGACCAGGGAUGUCUGGAUCCGUAAGCUAGUAAGUAACAUCUGGGGCUUCCUAGGAACUUUACAUAAAAGAUAAUUGACAUUUUUUUGCAAAUGGGAGUAUAUUUCUGCAGAUUAAUACUGCAAAAUUCAAGUGGAAGUAAGUAAAAUAUCCAAUAAUGUGAGAUCACAUAAUUAACUAUUGAUAACAAUGAUUUCAAAGUGGAAGUUUAUGGUAAGUUUCCUAUGUAAAAUAUUAGUCAAAUGCUAAGUGUGCAACAUUAUAACAUUUUUUAAAAAAUCAUUUGAGUCAGGGACAUUGCUAGGUUCUUGAAAUGAC